UACAGAGGGGGCAAGCGUUGUUCGGAAUUACUGGGCGUAAAGGGCGCGUAGGCGGAUGCCUAAGUACCUUGUGAAAUCCCACGGCUCACCCGUGGAACUGCUUGGUAUACUGGGUGUCUUGAGCCACUUAGGGGCUACCGGAACAAAUGGUGGAGCGGUGAAAUGCGUAGAUAUCGGGAGGAACACCGGUGGCGAAGGCGGUUCUCUGGGCCUUACCUGACGCUGAGGAGCGAAAGCGUGGGGAGCGAACAGG
rnacentral:rRNA from 1 species